GAUGAACGCUGGCGGCGUGCCCAAUACAUGCAAGUCGAGCGAACGGACGAGAAGCUUGCUUCUCUGAUGUUAGCGGCGGACGGGUGAGUAACACGUGGAUAACCUACCUAUAAGACUGGGAUAACUUCGGGAAACCGGAGCUAAUACCGGAUAAUAUUUUGAACCGCAUGGUUCAAAAGUGAAAGACGGUCUUGCUGUCACUUAUAGAUGGAUCCGCGCUGCAUUAGCUAGUUGGUAAGGUAACGGCUUACCAAGGCAACGAUGCAUAGCCGACCUGAGAGGGUGAUCGGCCACACUGGAACUGAGACACGGUCCAGACUCCUACGGGAGGCAGCAGUAGGGAAUCUUCCGCAAUGGGCGAAAGCCUGACGGAGCAACGCUGCGUGAGUGAUGAAGGUCUUCGGAUCGUAAAACUCUGUUAUUAGGGAAGAACAUAUGUGUAAGUAACUGUGCACAUCUUGACGGUACCUAAUCAGAAAGCCACGGCUAACUACGUG
rnacentral:rRNA from 1 species